rnacentral:rRNA from 1 species
CCUACGGGUGUCAGCAGUAGGGAAUCUUCCACAAUUGACGAAAGUCUGAUUGAGCAACGCAGCGUGAGUGAAGAAGGGUUUCGGCUCGUAAAGCUCUGUUGGUAGUGAAGUAAGAUAGCGGUAGUAACUAGCUUUUCUUUUACGGUAAUUACUUAGAAAGUCACGGCUAACUACGUGCCAGCAGCCGCGGUAAUAAGUAGGGGGCAAGCGUUGUCCGGUUUUAUUGGGCGUAAAGCGAGGGCAGGCGGGUCAAUAAGUCUGAUGUGAAAGCCUUCGGCUCAACCGGAGAAUCGCAUCAGAAACUGUUGAACUUGAGUGCAGAAGAGGAGAGUGGAACUCCAUGUGUAGCGGUGGAAUGCGUAGAUAUAUGGAAGAACACCAGUGGCGAAGGCGGCUCUCUGGUCUGCAACUGACGCUGAGGCUCGAAAGCAUGGGUAGCGAACAGGAUUAGAUACCCUUGUAGUC